UUGGAAAUCAUGUGAAGUUGAGCAUUUCUUACCACACAAGCCACAGGCCAUGACUGCAGGAAUGGUUUGUUUGAUUAUUGGCCUAUCAAACAUUUUCCAGUCAUUUGAUGAUACCACCACUUGGGAUAGUAAGCUGCAAAUAUAGACUUGUACUCAGCACUUAUUGCCUUUGAGAAGUAAGGGAUCCUUUUGACACUGAAUCUCGGUGUAUGCGGUCUCAUUGGAGUAACCCGUCUGAAGCAUUUAGCAAUGGGAUUGGAACCUGUGAUGUUUGAUGCAGUGAAUAAUCAAAGUACUCAGAAGUACUGAAAGCUGGGCUCAUUUACAGGGUAAUGAACAAAGACCGUGAUGAGAGUUUAAAAACAAAUUCAGACAUUG